GAAUUUUUUUUUAAACAACCUUUUAAGCACAACCAGUUCAGACAGCCAACUCGAGUAUUCAUGGAAUACUGUCCAGCAGACAAAGUUAGCACACCUUUGUCAUGAGGUCUCGACUGAUAAAUUCUCUCUCUCACACAUGAGGAGAACCAACAAGUCCUCCAAUUCACAUGAUCAUAUGAAUUUGUUCAUACUCUUCAAUAUCGCCUAGCUACAGCUAGGUGAUCUGUGGGUAUCUUCUUGGCAUUUUCCAGUU